AUGAACGCCAGGCAGGUGUCCGAGGGUGAUGCGGAGCGUGUGCGUGAGCCGUGGCUUGGCGACCCGACCCGAGUGCUGGUGACGGGGGUCAUGGGACUGCUGCUGCCCCCUGUCCGUCUCUCAGUCCACCCCGCUGCCUCCAGAGGCCCCAGGGUCCUACGCUCCCUAAGGUUCCAGCCCAGUCCUGAAAACAGCACAGCCGGUAAACAGUCACUUUGGUACUUAUGUCAUUUUAUAAAUACAAACACCUUUUGGUUGCAUCACAAAAUAACAAUUUCAUUAGUUGCCCAAUCAUUUGUCAAAAACGAAAACAAAAAUUUGAAGUAUAGAAGUACCUAGUUCUCUUAUGCGUAUCUAGAUUUCAGUAGUUACAUAACUUGCUUUUAAUAGUUACAGACUAUAGUUACCAUAUCUAGAUUUCAAUAGUUAUGUAAUCUGUGUAGCUCAUAGUUACAGACUGCGCAAAUGCAUUGUCUUUUGCGUAUCUACCUUUUUAGUAGUUACGUAACUAGCGUAACUUAUAGUUACGUACUACGUAAAUGCAUACUUUUCGACCAAAACCUCUGAAAAGUCCUAAAAAUAUAUAUUUUGCCUUUUCAAUAGUUACGUAACUUGCGUAACUUUCAGUUACAGAUUACAUGAAUGCAUUCUUAUUUGCAUAUCUAACUUUCAGUAGUAAUGUAACUAGUGUAACUUAUAGUUGCGUACUACCUAAAUGCAUUCUCUUUUGCGUAUCUUUAUUUUAAUAGUUACUUUACUUGCGUAACUUGUUAUGGACUACGUCGUAAAUGCAUAUUUUUUUCGGAGGAAAAAAAAGAGUAAUGGUUAAUAUAUCUCUAGCUUAUCUAUAUUUCAGUAGUCACGUAACUUGUGUAACCUGUUGUUACAGACUACAUUAAUCGUUCUCUUUUGUGUAUAUAUAUUUUAAUAGAUAGGUAACUCGCAUAUUUUAUAGGUAUGGACAAAGUUAAUUAAUUCUCUUUUUUGUAUCUACAUUUCAGUAGUUACGUAACUUGCAAAAUUUACAGUUACGGACUACGCAAAUGCAUAUUGUUUUCUGUAUCUAGAUUUCAAUAGUUACGUAACUUGCAUAACUUUUAAUUACAGACUACUUAAAUAACUUCUCUUUUGCGUAGCUACAUUUCGAUAGUUACAUAACUUGCAUAAUACAUAGUUUCAGACUAUGUAAAUGCAUAUUUUAAUAUUAAUAUGUUUACAUGAUUUCUCUAUUUUAUUUUUGUGAUCAACGUUUUAUUAGUAUUUUACAUAUAACAAAUAACAUUAUAACGUCCAUUCGGAAUAGAACGCAAAAACAACAACAUUGAUUUCUCAAUUAUUUUUAUGACAUCAGUGACUAAUUAAUAAGCUGAUAUUUUGACUCUUAAAAUUACAAAUCCUGUGGUGAAGCCUUCGUAAACGCAUCAUGAGUAUUAAUGAGUUUGUGAAUGCGCAUUCGAGAAAUGGUUAUGACUCAAUGUCAGCAUGACAUUAUUGAUACUCGUGAUUAAUAAUACUCGUUUUAGAUCUUCAAAGACAUAGCCUUCGUUUAGUUACCAAAUUGAGUCCGAAAUUUGCCUUUGAAUGAAAUCACUCAUGAAUUUUAAUUAUGUAGAUUGACAUUAGCCUGUAGGCUUAACUGAUUGGUCGAGAUCAAUAAUCAGGCACUUAGUCAGGUGGCUAAUUAACAAAUACUACUAUGGGAAAUGGAUAUUAAUUAGGUUACAUGACCGCACACUCCAGGAAGGUUACGAAGCACCUUCAGACAUCAUUAAUAUUCAUGAGGCAAGCCUUUGGCAUUGUAGAAUUCGUAAUUUUGCCCAACCUGCUACUUUUACAAUUUUAACUUCAAUUUGUUAGUGAAGAACCAGUCAUUUUGACACCACAAGUUGAAAUAAACAUCAUUAAGCUGUCA
ensembl:lncRNA